rnacentral:rRNA from 1 species
GAUGAACGCUGGCGGCGUGCCUAAUACAUGCAAGUCGAGCGAACAGAUGAGGAGCUUGCUCCUCUGACGUUAGCGGCGGACGGGUGAGUAACACGUGGAUAACCUACCUAUAAGACUGGGAUAACUUCGGGAAACCGGAGCUAAUACCGGAUAAUAUAUUGAACCGCAUGGUUCAAUAGUGAAAGACGGUUUUGCUGUCACUUAUAGAUGGAUCCGCGCCGCAUUAGCUAGUUGGUAAGGUAACGGCUUACCAAGGCAACGAUGCGUAGCCGACCUGAGAGGGUGAUCGGCCACACUGGAAGUGAGACACGGUCCAGACUCCUACGGGAGGCAGCAGUAGGGAAUCUUCCGCAAUGGGCGAAAGCCUGACGGAGCAACGCCGCGUGAGUGAUGAAGGUCUUCGGAUCGUAAAACUCUGUUAUUAGGGAAGAACAAAUGUGUAAGUAACUAUGCACGUCUUGACGGUACCUAAUCAGAAAGCCACGGCUAACUACG